rnacentral:rRNA from 1 species
CAAGUCGAACGAGAAAGUGGAGCAAUCCAUGAGUACAGUGGCGUACGGGUGAGUAACACGUGGAUAACCUGCCCUUUAGUGGGGAAUACCGCUGGGAAACCGGCGACAAUACCGCAUAAGCUCGAGAGAGGAAAGCAGCAAUGCGCUGAAGGAGGGGUCCGCGGCCGAUUAGCUCGUUGGCAGGGUAAUGGCCUACCAAGGCUGUGAUCGGUAGCCGGCCUGAGAGGGCACACGGCCACACUGGCACUGAAACACGGGCCAGACUCCUACGGGAGGCAGCAGUGGGGAAUCUUGCACAAUGGGGGAAACCCUGAUGCAGCGACGCCGCGUGAGCGAUGAAGCCCUUCGGGGUGUAAAGCUCUUUCGGCAGGGAAGAUGAUGACGGUACCUGCAGAAGCAGCUGCGGCUAACUACGUGCCAGCAGCCGCGGUAAUACGUAGGCAGCAAGCGUUGUUCGGAGUUACUGGGCGUAAAGGGUGCGUAGGCGGCUCUAUAAGUAUGGUGUGAAAUCUCCCGGCUCAACUGGGAGGGUGCGCUAUAAACUGUAGGGCUAGAGUGUGGGAGAGGAAAGUGGAAUUCCUGGUGUAGCGGUGAAAUGCGUAGAUAUCAGGAGGAACACCGGUGGUGUAAACGGCUUUCUGGACCAUAACUGACGCUGAUGCACGAAAGCGUAGGUAGCAAACAGGAUUAGAUACCCUGGUAGUCCACGCCCUAAACGAUGCAUAUUUGGUGUGGGCCAUUCAUUUGGUCCGUGCCGGAGCUA